UGCUUGACUCGGCAUGACGCCAGUCUACAUAUCGCAUGCUGAACGUGUUUCAUCUUACGCAUACGAUUAAAAAUUACAGUCCGAAAAUCGAAACUUUCCUAUAAUAUUUAAAAUAAGGGUUGAUGAAUUUUGUCGAAAUGUCUCUGCAUUUGGCAAGGCAUUUUCCAAUCAUUGGCCUUGAGAUCACCAUACUUAUAUUUUAUUGGCCGCGCUGAUUGUAAGAAGAAUACAAAAAACUCGAAUACCAUCACCGUUAUAAUUUUGGCUAGAAAAUUCGUUAGAUCUUCGAAAGGAAAAUUUUGGCUGAAGAAUUUCUAUGAAAUCUGUUCUAAUCGACAUUCCGUAUCAUCGUAUGCUCCCAAUUCUCACGUGACAACAGAUUUUAUAUAUUGCAAUAAAGUUACAAAGGAUAUAAGCUAAAACUUUUCCAAUCAUCUUUGCGCGUAUAAGGUAAAUAAUAGCUGCGCGCGCGCAUCGCAUGAAAAACGCGGGUAACUUACAAGUCAAACUCUUGGAUAAAGUAUAAGAAGAAAAGGAAAAAUAAUCGAGUAAAAAAAAAAAAAAUAUGUAUAAACCCAUUACAACCAGCUGACGGGAGGAGAAAGUUUCCUCCCGUACAACCUGCUGCACCUUUUCAUUUCAUUUUUUACAAUAAGAUUCGGCUAAUCAAUGGCGGAGAGUUCCAGAGGUUUAUGUAAUUAUGAAAAUAUGAUUCCAUCGUCCGAAGCGACAAGAAGCAGACCAGAAGUUCAUCGGAGGACCAUGAGAAUUAAUGAAAAAGGAAUUGUUUUGUGCAUAAAUUUGAAGCUGUAAGAAACUGACCUUCUAUUCUACCACCGGUACAACAAUUAUGACAGCAAAACAUUUCCGUAGCUGCCUCAUUCCUACGUUCUAAUAUGUAACGAGCUAUACAGAAUUAUCGGUCUCUUGAAGGCUCCGCAAACCGGCAGAUACGAACACGUUCUGUUCCUGUAUCUACUGUCAAAUGUCAACUAGCUACUAGGACAUCAUCUACGUGAAAUGUCGAAGUUCUCCGAAGUUCCCCCACUUUAUUACACCGAAGUUCCUCUCACAAUCUGCGGUUCCUCGUGUCUUUGCCAGAAAAGGUCGCAUCGGAUGAAAUGAUGGUUUUUUUUCUACCUUCCAAUUCCAAAUUUCUAAUCCAACCCAAAGAAUAUUACAACUUAUAUUAUUUAGGCAACUAAAAUUCUGCCGCUGCGAGUACCGUCUGUAGAUUUGAUCGUGUACGUGUGAAAGUAGAAAGCAUUGAAAACGGAUAUUUUGUUGUCGAGACCAAAAAUUAGGAUUUCAAGGUCAAAAGGUUGACACCCUUACGAAGUACACCCAAAAGGAACGAAAUGUAUGCAGGUAUAACCCAUUUUUCAAAAAAUUCGCCGCCCAGCUUGGUUCUUGCAGUCCUUGAAUAAAAUAGAGCCGCGCUCUUCAAUCAACAUUAUUUUUUAACGUUUCCGCAAUGUCAUAUGUAGGUAGUGCCCCACAUUUCCUUCAAUUUUUUAUUAGCGUACUUCUCCUUUUAUAUCACGAAAAAACUAUAACUGCGAGCCGCAACAGUAUUUGCGAAAAAAGUAAGCUUUUCUGCAAAACGCUGUCGAAUAUUCUUAAAGUUAAACAGUUACAUGCCGUGUAUAUCUGCACUUUUAUGCAGCGACUGGGAAUAAGAAUGAAAUACGAGAGGUAAAGAUUUGAAUUUUUUUAUCGAAGCCACUUCGGAUGGUAUUUGAAUUUGAAUAAACAAAAGAAUCAAUUCAUCCCUACUUCCGAAUAUGAUCAAAUUAUUUGCGCGAUGUCUUUCGGUUUAUUUUAUUAUAUUUAUGCGACAAAUUUUAUCAUAUCGAUAAUGUCUCACGUCAUAGAUAAGUUUUAUCACGCAAUUACAUGUUAUAUUUUGAGUCUGCAAUGUCGUUCGUGAAAAAAUGUAUAUUAUAAAUAGUCACGCAAAAGAAUAACUUGAAUAUAUUUAUAGUUUGAGCGGAAAAAGACUGCCUCCAGCAUCCCAUAAAACGGAAUAUCGUACGGGAUAGAGAAUAAGAAAAGAAAGAUGGAAAAAAAGGGUUCAGAAAAUGGUGUGCCUCUCAUUUCUCAGUGAUAAAUAUGGGGUUGAAAUGGCGACAGUCUGGAGCCGUGACGUCAUGUCAAACGUAAUGGGCGUCGUCCUGGCAACGAACAUAAUACGGAAACUACAGGACGUUGAAUUCCGUUUUUUUAUUUUUCGCCUUUUACCUUUUCCUUCAAUACUCGCUGUUGGCUUUUUCCUUAUCUAAUUCCCUGAAUUACCGAUUCCCGCGCGUCCAUAAAGUAAAGGGUACAUCACCCUUCACCUGAAAAAAAAAGGACAAAGAAGAAAUAAUCGAUUAUGCAAUUGAAAGUGGGAAUUAUUGCCAUUCAAAAUAUGUAUUUUAUGUAAAUACUCAUAACUGGAUUGAAAAUUAAUUUAAGGAAUAAGCUUUGUCGGUAUUAUUAUAGUCAUCUCGUUCAAAUUAUAUUCACGUCUUUAUUUUAUUUAUACUCUAUUUACUAUAUACAACAUGUACAAUUUUUUUUAGCUUUUUAUAUAAAUGUACGUAUAUUAUUCAUAUGUAUUUGAGCAUACAUGGUACGCAAUUAAAAUGUACAAUAUUUAUAAUACAACAAAUUAGGUAUUUGUCAUAGUGUAAUAACAAUUAUUGUUACUGUUAUGUAUAUUUUUUGCUUAAUAAAUUGAUAAAAGUAAGAAAGGAACAAAAAAGAGAAACAUCCAAAAUUCAUCUAAAAAAGUAAAUCAAUCAGUUUUCAAUCGAUAUUUUCUCUCUUUCUCUUUAUACCUCACCAAUGUAUAUGUAUAGAAUCGGUAUGCUGUCGUUUAAAAAUUCGUGGACGGUUCUUUCAUAGAGAUAAACACAAAAC